rnacentral:SRP_RNA from 1 species
GGCUGGGCCCUAUGCAACGGCGGGCCGGUGAACUCCGCCAGGGCCGGAAGGCAGCAACGGUAACCAGGACCCCCGUGUGCCGUAGGUCGCCUGGCCACU